UAAGGAUGAUGCAUAAGUGCGUAUAAGGUGACGUACAACCAACGUAUCAAAGUGGGAGGGAUAUCGUCCUACAAAUAUGUGCGAUCUAACCCCCCCACCAACAACCACGGCUGGUAAAUUAAAAAAUGUGAAACUUCUUCGACUACCAGACCUGAAAUCCAAGAAUUCCCCAAACCCUCAGUCCACAGAGUGAAAGGGUGAAGAAAAACUAAAUAAAUGAAAGAGACAAGAAACUGCAAAAAGGAAAAAAGACAUGGCUGAUGAAGAUCUGAUGACAGCUCAACAUACAGUGGAGGUAAAGGGAGCACAAACUGACUGGUGUGAAUGCAAAAAAACAGAAGAGAAUAUGUAGUAGCAGGGGGAGACUCAUCCUAAAACUGAUGUAAGAUGCCAAGUUGGAGCAGCAGAGAGGGGUGACUUUGAAAGAGGAAGAUGGGUAGCCCUCAGCGCUUUUCCCUCAUCUCCAAGGAGGUAACUGCAGCCUGAAAUAUACUUGCCUGCAUGAACAGAGAGACAAAGGGGCUGUGAUGGGAGAUUUGGGAUUUUUGAAGCCCCCUUUUCAUUCUGGUGGAUACAUGUGUUUGCUCAUCGUCAUCAUCACUGCCACUCCCAGCUUCUCCAGCCUCCCAGGACACCCAGACACACACUUCAAUAAAACAACAGAGAAGAUGGAAAAUGGAGUGCUUGGAUGCAGUUGUGCAGUUACAUACAAAUAAUCAGAGAUGAGGCAGAGUCAUAGUCACACAGAGACAUUCAUUACAAAAGCUUGCUGGUCUGGACCUUAUUUGCCUGAGGAAGCCAAUCUGUUUUAGGAUAUGCCCUACACGUGUCAAAGCAAGACUCCUUUUUUUUUUUAAUGUUUCUCUUCCCUGUCUCUGGUCCAUGGUCCUUCUUGCCUGGAGCCAGACUCGGACCACUAGAAGUGGGCUGGUGGUCCCAGCAGGGGCCCAGGCUCUGACAAACCAUUAACAUGAGGGAAUUAAAGUCAUUAAGCCUGGAAGGGCAAUAGAGGACGAGUCCUUCUAAUGGAGAAGAGAGAUGAGGUUUACAAAGUUAGGUGUGGAAGUUAAAAGAUAGACAAAGAAUAUUUGGAAAAACUGUACAGUUAUGCAAAUUGCAGAUAUUUAAAACUAAUCAUACAAAACAGUCUUUAAAUAUCUUCAGGUUUUUACAGAAUAUUUAU